rnacentral:rRNA from 1 species
CGUAAUACGGAGGGUGCGAGCGUUAAUCGGAAUUACUGGGCGUAAAGCGUACGCAGGCGGUUUGUUAAGCGAGAUGUGAAAGCCCCGGGCUCAACCUGGGAACUGCAUUUCGAACUGGCAAACUAGAGUGUGAUAGAGGGUGGUAGAAUUUCAGGUGUAGCGGUGAAAUGCGUAGAGAUCUGAAGGAAUACCGAUGGCGAAGGCAGCCACCUGGGUCAACACUGACGCUCAUGUACGAAAGCGUGGGGAGCAAACAGGAUUAGAUACCCUGGUAGUCCACGCCGUAAACGAUGUCUACUAGAAGCUCGGAGCCUCGGUUCUGUUUUUCAAAGCUAACGCAUUAAGUAGACC